AAGGAGUCUAGCGUAUACGCGAGUAUUUGGGUGUCAAACCCGAGUGCGAAAUGAAAGUAAAGAACUUCAUGCGCGUUGUUUGAGGUGGGAUGCGAAAGCUGCACCAUCGACCGGUCGGAAUUUAUUCUCGAUCUGAGUUAGAGCGUAUCCGCUGGGACCCGAAAGAUGGUGAACUAUGCCUGAGCAGGGCGAAGUCAGGGGAAACCCUGAUGGAGGCUCGUAGAUAUUCUAACGUGCAAAUUGAUGUUCAGACUUGGGUAUAGGGGCGAAAGACUAAUCGAACCAUCUAGUAGCUGGUUCCCUC
rnacentral:sRNA from 1 species